rnacentral:tRNA from 1 species
GGCCGGAUGGCAGAGUGGCUCAUGCUCUGGAUUGCAAAUCCAGCUACCUCGGUUCGAUUCCGGGUCCGGCCUCCA